AAGUCGUAACAAGGUUUCCGUAGGUGAACCUGCGGAAGGAUCAUUAACAUUUUUACUCUUUUUGGGUUUAGUUUGUGUUGUUUGUUUUCAUUAACAGAUGCACAUUCUACUCUCCUUUCACCCCAAAUGUGCAUUGUGUUGUGCUUUUUGACUCAAAUCAAAAGCACUUCUUUUUUAUCUAUCUAUACUAAAUAAAACCCCUUUUUAUUACUUCUAGACUGACUUUAAACCACUUGAUUCGUACACUUCAUACUGUACGAUGACCAAUCAUAAUACAACUCUUAGCAACGGAUAUCUAGGCUCUC
rnacentral:misc_RNA from 1 species